UGGAUUCGAUGUGUGAGCCUCUGUU
rnacentral:piRNA from 1 species